GCAUGGGUUUGGAUUUAUGGCAGGCCUGUCCCCUUGAGUCUCUCAUAGUGUCCCAUGCCAGAGCAAACGGUGGCCCCAAACCAUUGCCUGGCCUGUAGGGGGUUGCUGCCACUGAAGCGGGUUGCACAGUG
rnacentral:snoRNA from 1 species